AUUGAACGCUGGCGGCAGGCCUAACACAUGCAAGUCGAGCGAGCGGCGGACGGGUGAGUAAUGUCUGGGAAACUGCCUGAUGGAGGGUGAUAACUACUGGAAACGGUAGCUAAUACCGCAUACCAUCAGAUGUGCCCAGAUGGGAUUAGCUGGUAGGUGUGGUAAUGGCUCACCUAGGCGACGAUCCCUAGCUGGUCUGAGAGGAUGACCAGCAAAACUGGAACUGAGACACGGUCAAGAGUCCUACGGGAGGCAGCAGGGGGGAAGAUUGCACAAUGGGCGCAAGCCGGAUGCAGCAAUGCCGCGUGUGUGAAGAAGGCCUUCGGGUUGUAAAGAACUGUCAGCGAGGAGGCGUUACUCGCAGAAGAAGCACCGGCUAACUCCGUGCCAGCAGCCGCGGUAAUUAC
rnacentral:rRNA from 1 species